GGGCGGUUGGCGCAAUGGUAGCGCAUUGGUUUCCGGCGUCAGUUUGGAUCUACCAAAGGCUGAGGGUUCGAGGUAAGGCGCCGCAACGCACG